AUGCAUGUCUAAGUAUAAGCACUUGUACUGUGAAACUGCGAAUGGCUCAUUAAAUCAGUUAUCGUUUAUUUGAUUGUACCAUUUACUACUUGGAUAACCGUGGUAAUUCUAGAGCUAAUACAUGCGAAAAGUCCCGACUUCUGGAAGGGAUGUAUUUAUUAGAUUCAAAACCAAUGCGGGUUCUGCCCGGUUCUUUGGUGAUUCAUAAUAACUGUUCGAAUCGCACGGCCUUGCGCUGGCGAUGUUUCAUUCAAAUUUCUGCCCUAUCAACUGUCGAUGGUAAGGUAUUGGCUUACCAUGGUUACAACGGGUGACGGAGAAUUAGGGUUCGAUUCCGGAGAGGGAGCCUGAGAAACGGCUACCACA
rnacentral:rRNA from 1 species